UUAAGCGACUAAGCGUACACGGUGGAUGCCCUGGCAGUCAGAGGCGAUGAAGGACGUGCUAAUCUGCGAUAAGCGUCGGUAAGGUGAUAUGAACCGUUAUAACCGGCGAUUUCCGAAUGGGGAAACCCAGUGUGAUUCGUCACACUAUCAUUAACUGAAUCCAUAGGUUAAUGAGGCGAACCGGGGGAACUGAAACAUCUAAGUACCCCGAGGAAAAGAAAUCAACCGAGAUUCCCCCAGUAGCGGCGAGCGAACGGGGAGCAGCCCAGAGCCUGAAUCAGCAUGUGUGUUAGUGGAAGCGUCUGGAAAGGCGCGCGAUACAGGGUGACAGCCCCGUACACAAAAAUGCACAUGCUGUGAGCUCGAUGAGUAGGGCGGGACACGUGGUAUCCUGUCUGAAUAUGGGGGGACCAUCCUCCAAGGCUAAAUACUCCUGACUGACCGAUAGUGAACCAGUACCGUGAGGGAAAGGCGAAAAGAACCCCGGCGAGGGGAGUGAAAAAGAACCUGAAACCGUGUACGUACAAGCAGUGGGAGCACGCUUAGGCGUGUGACUGCGUACCUUUUGUAUAAUGGGUCAGCGACUUAUAUUCUGUAGCAAGGUUAACCGAAUAGGGGAGCCGAAGGGAAACCGAGUCUUAACUGGGCGUUAAGUUGCAGGGUAUAGACCCGAAACCCGGUGAUCUAGCCAUGGGCAGGUUGAAGGUUGGGUAACACUAACUGGAGGACCGAACCGACUAAUGUUGAAAAAUUAGCGGAUGACUUGUGGCUGGGGGUGAAAGGCCAAUCAAACCGGGAGAUAGCUGGUUCUCCCCGAAAGCUAUUUAGGUAGCGCCUCGUGAAUUCAUCUCCGGGGGUAGAGCACUGUUUCGGCAAGGGGGUCAUCCCGACUUACCAACCCGAUGCAAACUGCGAAUACCGGAGAAUGUUAUCACGGGAGACACACGGCGGGUGCUAACGUCCGUCGUGAAGAGGGAAACAACCCAGACCGCCAGCUAAGGUCCCAAAGUCAUGGUUAAGUGGGAAACGAUGUGGGAAGGCCCAGACAGCCAGGAUGUUGGCUUAGAAGCAGCCAUCAUUUAAAGAAAGCGUAAUAGCUCACUGGUCGAGUCGGCCUGCGCGGAAGAUGUAACGGGGCUAAACCAUGCACCGAAGCUGCGGCAGCGACGCUGAUGCGUUGUUGGGUAGGGGAGCGUUCUGUAAGCCUGCGAAGGUGUGCUGUGAGGCAUGCUGGAGGUAUCAGAAGUGCGAAUGCUGACAUAAGUAACGAUAAAGCGGGUGAAAAGCCCGCUCGCCGGAAGACCAAGGGUUCCUGUCCAACGUUAAUCGGGGCAGGGUGAGUCGACCCCUAAGGCGAGGCCGAAAGGCGUAGUCGAUGGGAAACAGGUUAAUAUUCCUGUACUUGGUGUUACUGCGAAGGGGGGACGGAGAAGGCUAUGUUGGCCGGGCGACGGUUGUCCCGGUUUAAGCGUGUAGGCUGGUUUUCCAGGCAAAUCCGGAAAAUCAAGGCUGAGGCGUGAUGACGAGGCACUACGGUGCUGAAGCAACAAAUGCCCUGCUUCCAGGAAAAGCCUCUAAGCAUCAGGUAACAUCAAAUCGUACCCCAAACCGACACAGGUGGUCAGGUAGAGAAUACCAAGGCGCUUGAGAGAACUCGGGUGAAGGAACUAGGCAAAAUGGUGCCGUAACUUCGGGAGAAGGCACGCUGAUAUGUAGGUGAAGCGACUUGCUCGUGGAGCUGAAAUCAGUCGAAGAUACCAGCUGGCUGCAACUGUUUAUUAAAAACACAGCACUGUGCAAACACGAAAGUGGACGUAUACGGUGUGACGCCUGCCCGGUGCCGGAAGGUUAAUUGAUGGGGUCAGCGCAAGCGAAGCUCUUGAUCGAAGCCCCGGUAAACGGCGGCCGUAACUAUAACGGUCCUAAGGUAGCGAAAUUCCUUGUCGGGUAAGUUCCGACCUGCACGAAUGGCGUAAUGAUGGCCAGGCUGUCUCCACCCGAGACUCAGUGAAAUUGAACUCGCUGUGAAGAUGCAGUGUACCCGCGGCAAGACGGAAAGACCCCGUGAACCUUUACUAUAGCUUGACACUGAACAUUGAGCCUUGAUGUGUAGGAUAGGUGGGAGGCUUUGAAGUGUGGACGCCAGUCUGCAUGGAGCCGACCUUGAAAUACCACCCUUUAAUGUUUGAUGUUCUAACGUUGACCCGUAAUCCGGGUUGCGGACAGUGUCUGGUGGGUAGUUUGACUGGGGCGGUCUCCUCCUAAAGAGUAACGGAGGAGCACGAAGGUUGGCUAAUCCUGGUCGGACAUCAGGAGGUUAGUGCAAUGGCAUAAGCCAGCUUGACUGCGAGCGUGACGGCGCGAGCAGGUGCGAAAGCAGGUCAUAGUGAUCCGGUGGUUCUGAAUGGAAGGGCCAUCGCUCAACGGAUAAAAGGUACUCCGGGGAUAACAGGCUGAUACCGCCCAAGAGUUCAUAUCGACGGCGGUGUUUGGCACCUCGAUGUCGGCUCAUCACAUCCUGGGGCUGAAGUAGGUCCCAAGGGUAUGGCUGUUCGCCAUUUAAAGUGGUACGCGAGCUGGGUUUAGAACGUCGUGAGACAGUUCGGUCCCUAUCUGCCGUGGGCGCUGGAGAACUGAGGGGGGCUGCUCCUAGUACGAGAGGACCGGAGUGGACGCAUCACUGGUGUUCGGGUUGUCAUGCCAAUGGCACUGCCCGGUAGCUAAAUGCGGAAGAGAUAAGUGCUGAAAGCAUCUAAGCACGAAACUUGCCCCGAGAUGAGUUCUCCCUGACUCCUUGAGAGUCCUGAAGGAACGUUGAAGACGACGACGUUGAUAGGCCGGGUGUGUAAGCGCAGCGAUGCGUUGAGCUAACCGGUACUAAUGAACCGUGAGGCUUAACCUU
rnacentral:rRNA from 1 species